AAUCGACUCCUAUGAUAGUUUCCUAAUGUCCUAUGUCUACUAUUCAUCCCUCUCAACCAGGUCUCUUUUCAGUUGUUGAUAUAUCUGCUUUCCAUCUAACCACCAGCCCCUAUCAUCAUCCACUCCAGUGUCCUUUCCAAUGCCUCAUCUUUAAACUAGCCUUUAUCUACAUCUACUUCAGUGUCCCUUCCUCCACGACAAUUACAAGUUCUUUAUCCACCAUUAAUGUCCAAUACACACUAAAUGUAGACUCAUUCCAAAACUGGACACCUUAAACCAUGAUUAUUUUUGGCUGCCGCUAAUUUUACAUCAGUUCCUACAUGUUAUACUCAAGCUCAACCUCACAAGCAUUGGCGUCAAGCCAUGGAUGAUGAGUUCACCGCACUCAUGCAAACUGGCAUGUGGGAGCUAGUCCCUCACUCCAUAACCCACAAUAUCAUUAGCUGCAAGUGGGUUUUUUGGAUAAAGCACAAGCCUGAUGGUAGCAUUGAGUGCUAUAAGGCUCGCCUUGUUGCUAAGGGGUUUCACUAGCGCCCGAGGGUCGAUUUUACUGCCACUUUCUCUCUGAUUCUCAAGCCUAUUACUUUGAGGGUAAUCCUUGUCAUUGUUGUUUCAAAUUCUUGAGCAAUUAAGCAAUUGGAUGUUAGCAAUGCUUUCCUUCAUGGUGACCUCCAUGACUCAGUCUUUAUGGAACAGCCACCCUGCUACAUUGAUGCUAGAAAACCAACUCAUAUUUGCCAGCUAAAACGAUCUCUUUAUGGCCUUCGACAAGCUCUGUGGCAGUGGUACCAUAAACUCAAGGAAGCUCUUGUUCCUUCAUAGUUUUGGCCAUCUAUUGCAGAUUCAUCAUUGUUUGUUUACAAACAGAGGGGAAAGAUGGUCACUGUGCAGUUUUUAUUGCCAGCCAAGCAUAAGGAGGAGGCACCGAAGCCAACAGAUGAAAGGGUGGUGAUAAGGGAAGAGGGGGAGAGGAAGUAUGGGGUCGUGAAUUUUGCUGAUGUGGCUGCAGACCAUGUGAUGAAAGAGAAAGUGGAGAAGCUGAAGAAGAGCUUGGAGAGAGAUGGGUACAAGGCGACUGGAGAGUUCGUGCUGGCAAGGUAUAAACCACCCUGGACUUUGCCUUCUUUCAGAGCUAAUGAAGUAAUAGAAGCCAAUAGAGCAAGUGUUUGUUCCAGUUUCUGUGAUAAAGGCUGGCUCUCUACCUGUUUAUUUUGAUUGUCUAAUAGUCAUUUUCUUUUCCUUCACAAAGAAUAGAAUUUUCGUAAUGUCUUUGAAAAGUGGCCAGCAUUUGAAUUGGCUUUGGGUACA